rnacentral:tRNA from 1 species
GUCCCAGUAGCUCAGUUGGAUAGAGCAACGGCCUUCUAAGCCGUGAGUCGGGAGUUCGAAUCUCUUCUGGGACGCCA